GACGAACGCUGGCGGCGUGCUUAACACAUGCAAGUCGAACGGAAAGGCCCUGCUUUUGUGGGGUGCUCGAGUGGCGAACGGGUGAGUAACACGUGAGUAACCUGCCCUUGACUUUGGGAUAACUUCAGGAAACUGGGGCUAAUACCGGAUAGGAGCUCCUGCUGCAUGGUGGGGGUUGGAAAGUUUCGGCGGUUGGGGAUGGACUCGCGGCUUAUCAGCUUGUUGGUGGGGUAGUGGCUUACCAAGGCUUUGACGGGUAGCCGGCCUGAGAGGGUGACCGGCCACAUUGGGCCUGAGAUACGGCCCAGACUCCUACGGGAGGCAGCAGUGGGGAAUAUUGCACAAUGGGCGGAAGCCUGAUGCAGCAACGCCCCGUGCGGGAUGACGGCCUUCGGGUUGUAAACCGCUUUCGCCUGUGACGAAGCGUGAGUGACGGUAAUGGGUAAAGAAGCACCGGCUAACUACGUG
rnacentral:rRNA from 1 species